rnacentral:tRNA from 1 species
GUUUAAAUAGCUUAAUAAAAAGCUUAUUAUUGAAGCUAAUAGGAUGAUUUUUUAAAUCUUUAAACA